UUCGGGAAGCGAGCGUACACAGGUGCUGCAUGGCUGUCGUCAGCUCGUGUCGUGAGAUGUUGGGUUAAGUCCCGCAACGAGCGCAACCCUUGUCUUAUGUUGCCAGCACGUAAUGGUGGGGACUCGUAAGAGACUGCCGGGGUCAACUCGGAGGAAGGUGGGGACGACGUCAAGUCAUCAUGCCCCUUAUGUCCAGGGCUUCACACAUGCUACAAUGGCCAGUACAGAGGGCUGCGAGACCGUGAGGUGGAGCGAAUCCCUUAAAGCUGGUCUCAGUUCGGAUCGGGGUCUGCAACUCGACCCCGUGAAGUCGGAGUCGCUAGUAAUCGCAGAUCAGCAACGCUGCGGUGAAUACGUUCCCGGGCCUU
rnacentral:rRNA from 1 species